rnacentral:rRNA from 1 species
AUUGAACGCUGGCGGCAGGCCUAACACAUGCAAGUCGAGCGGAUGAAGGGAGCUUGCUCCUGGAUUCAGCGGCGGACGGGUGAGUAAUGCCUAGGAAUCUGCCUGGUAGUGGGGGAUAACGUCCGGAAACGGGCGCUAAUACCGCAUACGUCCUGAGGGAGAAAGUGGGGGAUCUUCGGACCUCACGCUAUCAGAUGAGCCUAGGUCGGAUUAGCUAGUUGGUGGGGUAAAGGCCUACCAAGGCGACGAUCCGUAACUGGUCUGAGAGGAUGAUCAGUCGCACUGGAACUGAGACACGGUCCAGACUCCUAAGGGAGGCAGCAGUGGGGAAUAUUGGACAAUGGGCGAAAGCCUGAUACAGCCAUGCCGCGUGUGUGAAGAAGGUCUUCGGAUUGUAAAGCACUUUAAGUUGGGAGGAAGGGCAGUAAGUUAAUACCUUGCUGUUUUGACGUUACCAACAGAAUAAGCACCGGCUAACUUCGUG